UAAAAACUUAAAAUUUAAAAGACUUGACGGUACUUCAUACCAACCUAGAGGAGCCUGUCUAAUAACCGAUAAUCCCCGAUUAACCCAACCGACUCUGGCCCACACAGUCUAUAUACCGCCGUCGCCAGCUUACCUCAUGAGAGCAACAAAGUGAGCCAAACAGUAUCACACUAACACGACAGGUCGAGGUGUAACUAAUGAGUCGGACCAGAUGGGCUACAUUUCUAUUAAACAGAAACACGAACAGACUAUGAAAUUAGAAACUGAAGGCGGAUUUAGUAGUAAGAUAAGAAUAAAAUACUUAACUGAACUAUGCAAUGAAGCGCGC
rnacentral:rRNA from 1 species